GCCUGAGUGGCUCAGUCGGUUGAGCGUCUGACUUCAGCUCGGGUCACGAUCUCACAGCUUGUGAGUUCAAGCCCCACCUUGGGCU
rnacentral:tRNA from 1 species